rnacentral:rRNA from 1 species
GACGAACGCUGGCGGCGUGCUUAACACAUGCAAGUCGAACGGAAAGGCCCUGCUUGCAGGGUACUCGAGUGGCGAACGGGUGAGUAACACGUGGGUGAUCUGCCCUGCACUUCGGGAUAAGCCUGGGAAACUGGGUCUAAUACCGGAUAGGAGCCAUUUUUAGUGUGAUGGUUGGAAAGUUUUUUCGGUGUAGGAUGAGCUCGCGGCCUAUCAGCUUGUUGGUGGGGUAAUGGCCUACCAAGGCGGCGACGGGUAGCCGGCCUGAGAGGGUGGACGGCCACAUUGGGACUGAGAUACGGCCCAGACGCCUACGGGAGGCAGCAGUGGGGAAUAUUGCACAAUGGGCGCAAGCCUGAUGCAGCGACGCCGCGUGGGGGAUGACGGCCUUCGGGUUGUAAACUCCUUUCGCUAGGGACGAAGCUUUUUGCGACGGUACCUAGAUAAGAAGCACCGGCUAACUACGUG